UCAAGGUGUCCUGGGGUGGUUGCAUUGCAGCCUGAGAUCAUACCCGUUAACCUGAUCUGGAUAAUACCAGCGCUAGGGAGACACCUUCAAUCUCAU
rnacentral:ncRNA from 2 species